rnacentral:lncRNA from 1 species
GCCUUGUUGCCCAGAAUAGAGUGCAGUGGCACAAUCUCGGCUCACUGCAACCUCCGCCUCCUGGGUUCAAGCAAUUCUUAUGCCUCAGCCUCCCAAGUAGCUGGGACUAUAGGCGUGCGUCACCAUGCCUGGCUAAUUUUUGUAUUUUUAGUAGAGACAGGUUUUCACCAUGUUGGCCAGGGGUUGGAGAUGCGGACUCUCUGGCAUUCUGAAUGUGACAGAGUUGAAGAUUUGAGACACAGCAUUGAGUGUGGAGACCUGGAGAAGGCCCCUCAGUGGAGUAGGAAGGACUGGGGUUUCCCAGUCAGCAUG